CUUCUGCACCUCAUAACUUCAUAGUCUAUUUGUCAGUCAAAGAAAGGAGAGAAAAUGAUAUUGUGGCUUCAAAGUGUAUUCUUUUCAGCAAUACUCAGAGGUGUCCUUUCAGAUGUUCAGCUGGUGGAGUCUGGAGGAAAGGUCAAAAGGCCCGGAGAGCCCCUCCGCCUCUCCUGUCGAGCCUCCGGGUUCACCUUCAGUAGCUACUGGAUGAAUUGGGUGAGACAGGCUCCUGGCAAGGGUCUCGAAUGGGUGGCAAGGAUAACCAGUGAUGGAGGCACCCAGUACUAUGCCAACUCAGUGAGAGGACGCUUCACCAUCUCCAGGAACAACCCUUCCAACAUGCUUUAUCUGCAAAUGGACAGCUUGAAAGUUGAAGACACAGCUGUGUAUUACUGUGCGAGAGACACAGUGACAGGAUGUGAGUCUGAAGCCAGGCAAAAACCAUACCCUGCCUCUGAUAGCUCUCCAGUAUUAACUGAGUUUAAAGAAGUUAAAGGAGGAAAUGAAGGCAUACAUCCUCUGCACUAA